rnacentral:ncRNA from 2 species
CGAUCAUUGACAGCUGUAGUUUUUAUUAUAUAAUGAUGCGGUCAGUUAGAUCAAAGGGAAGCGCCGUGAGAUUCGGCCGCGGUCGCCGCCACUGUGACCCCGCCCCUAUUUUUUAUCAGGAUAAUAGGGGAGAAUUCCCUAACCAAUAAGGUCACUGUUCUGCAAAUCGCAGAAUGGGAAGACGGUUAGGGGCGGGGAAGCCAGGAGACCUAUCUGCUGAUUCAAUAAGCA